CUGCCCUUAGACUCUGAUUGGCAUUCGCCGUGUCGCGUCGCUCAGCAUUUGCGUAAAAUAGACUUCUUGCCUAUUUUGGCCCCACUUUGCUGUAUAGCAACCACUUGUCUCUUA